rnacentral:snRNA from 1 species
AAAAAGUGAGUGGUACAUGUAAGGCAGUUUGCUUGCCUUCAUAAGGAAUCAACAUUAAGAGAUUUCAGAAGCAUAAUUUUUUUGUCAGUGGGCAGCUGGUGAUCAAUGGUCCUGGCAUCCCA